rnacentral:rRNA from 1 species
AGAGUUUGAUCCUGGCUCAGGAUGAACGCUAGCGGGAGGCUUAACACAUGCAAGUCGAGGGGCAGCACGGGGUAGCAAUACUUUGGUGGCGACCGGCGCACGGGUGAGUAACACGUAUGCAACCUACCUCGUACAGGGGGAUAACCCGGAGAAAUUCGGACUAAUAUCCCAUAAUGAUAUUGAAAGGCAUCUUUUAAUAUUUAAAGCUCAGGCGGUACGGGAUGGGCAUGCGGAACAUUAGCUGGUUGGUAGGGUAACGGCCUACCAAGGCUACGAUGUUUAGGGGACCUGAGAGGGUUAUCCCCCACACUGGUACUGAGACACGGACCAGACUCCUACGGGAGGCAGCAGUGAGGAAUAUUGGUCAAUGGGCGCAAGCCUGAACCAGCCAUCCCGCGUGAAGGAAGAAGGCGCUAUGCGUUGUAAACUUCUUUUCCAGGGGGAGAAUUUUCCGGUCGUGACCGGGAUUGACGGUACUCUGGGAAUAAGCAUCGGCUAACUCCGUGCCAGCAGCCGCGGUAAUACGGAGGAUGCGAGCGUUAUCCGGAUUUAUUGGGUUUAAAGGGUGCGUAGGCGGAUCAAUAAGUCAGUGGUGAAAUUCUGCAGCUUAACUGUAGACUUGCCAUUGAUACUGUUGGUCUUGAGUAUGGUCAAGGUAGGCGGAAUGUGUAAUGUAGCGGUGAAAUGCUUAGAUAUUACACAGAACACCGAUUGCGAAGGCAGCUUGCUGGGCCAAUACUGACGCUGAUGCACGAAAGCGUGGGGAUCGAACAGGAUUAGAUACCCUGGUAG